UUUUAUAAGCCAACAAGAAAAGGACCAACACUGCAAUACUGAAUUGUACAUCAGGUUGUAUGAAUUGUACUGUUUAUUUAGGCUAUUACACACUUCUCUUUGCCAAAAAAAUAAGCUAAUAAGAGUUGUACAAACAGCUGUAUGUGCUUGUACAAGAGACUUUAAUAAUUAUACUUUAUAGACAACAAGUACAUAAAGCCACGUGUAGGCACAGAAACAUGUAUCUUGCCAUUACUCACUCAUCCUCCACCUUAACCAAAUUUCCUCUGAAGUUUGUCUUUUUUUUUUUUUGGAGCAACUUCAAGCUCUCUGUUUCUGCCAAAUGAUGAAGUAGGGGAAAAGACAUCAAAAGUCAUGAUGUUCUUCAAGAUUCUCAUCUACAAGAUAACUAAAUGAGAGUUGACAUGACAAGAUGACCAGAAAGAAACAAGUUAGUCCUACAUGGCUUUAGUGAAAUGAACACUGUCCCAGUUAAUGUACUGAGAAGGGUCAGGACAAGAGAAGAGAACUGAAACGUUGAACACGUGAAAGUCAAUAUUUGUCUGUUUCAUGUUGAUUUCAAUUUCACGUUUUAUACAGAAGUAAUUUGUGAUAACAGUGAGACAAUAUUUGAAUAUGAUCACGUUACUACUGAGGGAUAAACUUGAGAAAACUAUAUAAUCUAUGUGACGCUUUCAAGAAUGUAUCUGCAACCAGAUUCUUGGAGUCCCUUAUAUACUACUUUGGUUAAAGAUGCUCCAUUAUGUUAAUAUUAUUGAUCAUGUCCUGCAGAUCUCUACCUCUUUACUGUUAGUAUUAGGGUCCUCUCCCUCUUCUAGUGAAUUUUUUUUGUUCUCUUUGCUUUUCAUGCUUUCAAUGUUAGAUCUGUCUGAUGUUUUUGCUGAUUGUCUGUGAUAGUGAAACUUGCUAUAGGUUAGACCAUCAUACUUUUUGCUGGCGGACUUCACCAAUUACUGUUUUGAAGUUGAUGGCUUGAGGACAAAUACAGAAUAUUUUGGAUACAAUAUUGCAUCAACAUCCAUCUGUUAUUCAAUGAUUUGAAAAAGUCGUUCAAGAUUUUAGCAAGGAAGACAAAGCUCGCCUUCUUCACUCAUCGUCUAACAAAUCUGUCUACUUCUCCAAGUGUCGUUAAAAGGAUUUACUUCCCUGCAAGGAGUAUUCAGGUUUCAAAUCCAAAAAGUUUAUGCUAGACCUGUUCACUUGCCUUAAGCACAUUCAUGGUAAUUAUUUUAUCAUCUGAAAGUGAACUAUGAUUAUCCAAAAAUAAAUUUUGAUUGUCCUCCUGAUGCUGAAGAAUUUUCUCA